CGGGGAAUAACCAUUGGAAACGAUGGCUAAUACCGCAUACGUCCUCAGGGAGAAAGGCUUCGGCCACCCUUGGAUGGUCCCGCGUCUGAUUAGCUUGUUGGUGAGGUAACGGCUCACCAAGGCGACGAUCAGUAGCUGGUCUGAGAGGAUGAUCAGCCACACUGGGACUGAGACACGGCCCAGACUCCUACGGGAGGCAGCAGUGGGGAAUAUUGGACAAUGGGCGAAAGCCUGAUCCAGCAAUGCCGCGUGAGUGAAGAAGGCCUUAGGGUUGUAAAACUCUUUCGCCGGUGAAGAUGAUGACUGUAGCCGGAAAAGAAGCCUUGGCUAACUCCGUGCCAGCAGCCGCGGUAAUACGGAGGGGGCUAGCGUUGUUCGGAUUUACUGGGCGUAAAGCGCGCGUAGGCGGUAUAUCAAGUUAGGCGUGAAAGCCCCGGGCUCAACCCGGGAACUGCGCUUAUUACUGAUAAACUAGAGUCCGGGAGAGGGUAGCGGCAUUCCCAGUGUAGAGGUGAAAUUCGUAGAUAUUGGGAAGAACACCAGUUGCGAAGGCGGCUACCUGGACCGGUACUGACGCUGAGGUGCGAAAGCGUGGGGAGCAAACAGG
rnacentral:rRNA from 1 species